GGAGGAAUAUUGGGCAAUGGGGGAAACCCUGACCCAGCAACGCCGCGUGAAGGAAGAAGGCCUUCGGGUUGUAAACUUCUGUGACAGGGGACGAAAGAAAUGACGGUACCCUGAGAGGAAGCCACGGCAAACUACGUGCCAGCAGCCGCGGUAAUACGUAGGUGGCGAGCGUUGUCCGGAAUCACUGGGCGUAAAGGGCGCGUAGGCGGUUUUACAAGUCACAUGUGAAAUACCAGGGCUUAACUUUGGGGGUGCAUGUGAAACUGUAGGACUUGAGUGCAGUAGAGGUAAGCGGAAUUCCUGGUGUAGCGGUAAAAUGCGUAGAGAUCAGGAGGAACACCGGUGGCGAAGGCGGCUUACUGGGCUGCAACUGACGCUGAGGCGCGAAAGCGUGGGGAGCAAACA
rnacentral:rRNA from 1 species